UUCUCCACAUUCUUUAUUCUUUAGUCUUAUUAGCUAUAGCUCUUAUUCUUUGGUCUCUAUUAGUCUUUAUUCUUUUCUUAUAGCGCAGACUUUCUUACUUAACUGAUCCUUGUCUUUUUCUUUGCUUUCCUGUAGAUGCAGGCAUCGAUUCUUUGAAAAAGCUUCGAGAAAUUAAUUUUGAAAACUUAGAAGCCAUAGUCUCUAAGUCCCUUAGAAGUAGAGAAGUGAAAUAUCUCAAAGAAAAAUGGACUGCUUGGCGAGAAGAGGUGCAAGAGAAUCAGCCAACAAGUCCUCGUACUGCUGAAAAGAGGCAAUCCGAGACCCCUGGUAACUCUUCACCAGCCAAGAGGCACCUUUCUUCAAAUGACAUUGAAAAUCAGAGGGAAAGUAUUGAGGGUUGCUCUCAGGAUUCCAUCAACCUACAGAAUUCACCAAGAAGAAGUCCUCGCAUUGCAAACAAAACACAAGUGACCACCAGCAGCUCUGAUUCAGCGAAAAAGCAGCUUUUUCCUGUCCUAAUAGGGCAAACUUCCUCUAGCCAAGACUUGCAAAAAAAAACUAGAGGCUUCCACUCAAGGCUGCCAAAUCUUAGCUUAUUUUAAAAAAUAUAACACACUCGAUAACAAACGAAGAAACAAAUUAUGCAAUUUCAUAAUUAGUGAUGCUCUCACACCAGAUCCGAAUAAAAAAUUAACAGCAGACACACUCAAAAGGUUACAAGAUGAUAUUGUUAGAACGUUCCCAGAUGAAAAUCCACUAGAAUGGUACACUCCAUAUAUGACAGAUGAAAAUGGCAAAAGUAUCAAUGCAACCGGUCGUUUAGUGUUCGGUUAUCAUAAUCACCGAAGAGAACUAAUAAAAAGUGGUCUUGCGACUCCAUUUAGAAACACCAAGAAAACUGCUUCGACCACUGAAGGGGUUUCCAUCUCAGAUGAGCAGGUCCUAAAAAAUUUACAAAUCUUGAAAGAUCCAGAAGUUUUGAGUGAGCAAGCCCUCACUCUUUGGAGCGACACAUUUCAUGCUAGAUUGGACGAUUUUGAUAAGAAAUACUCAAGUAUUGAGGAGUACCUAAACACAUACCCUAUUUUGAAGUCUCCCGUUGGAGCAAAACUGUUUCGUUUGGAUUUCAAAGAGAAAUUUCCUAACUAUGAGAUUUCCCUCUUAAACGCUUGGAAUAAAGUGAAGGAAAAAGUUCUUAGUUUUGCCUCAGACGUUCUCAAGGAGGAUCUCAACCUACUACAAAUAUUACAACAUGAUGAUGUUGAUUUAGAAGUUGCAGAUUCAAAACUCCUAACAGUUGCUGCGUUUCGCCUCAUUGGAUAUUAUUCAUCUGUAUGCAAAGCGAUUAAAGGAUCAAACGGGAAGAUAUGGCAUCCAGACAAAAAAGAUGCGAUGAACAGUGUACUCUUGCUUGUGAAAUCAUCAGCAAACAUUACACUCAGUAUCGAUGAAGAAAUUGAAAAGGUAGCAAAAUUUGGCCUGACACUUCAACCACUACCUAUUGCUGUUGUCAAUGAAAAGGAAGUAGUAUCCUCCCACUUCUUCAUAAAUGGAAAACUCCAUUUCUGCGAGAGCCCGCUAGAUGCCAUUGAUCUUGCCUUUAAGAC
rnacentral:lncRNA from 1 species